AGAGUUUGAUCCUGGCUCAGGAUGAACGCUGGCGGCGUGCCUAACACAUGCAAGUCGAGCGCGAUUAAAUGAAGUGGAGAGCUUGCUCAAAGCGACAUUUAUGAAAGCGGCGGACGGGUGAGUAACGCGUGGGCAACCUGCCCUGUGCAGAGGGAUAGCCACUGGAAACGGUGAUUAAUACCUCAUGGAGCUAUUGAACCGCAUGGUUUAAUGGUGAAAGUUCCGGCGGCACAGGAUGGGCCCGCGUCUGAUUAGCUAGUUGGUGAGGUAACGGCUCACCAAGGCGACGAUCAGUAGCCGACCUGAGAGGGUGAACGGCCACACUGGAACUGAGACACGGUCCAGACUCCUACGGGAGGCAGCAGUGGGGAAUAUUGCACAAUGGGCGCAAGCCUGAUGCAGCAACGCCGCGUGAGUGAAGAAGGCUUUCGGGUCGUAAAGCUCUGUCCUAGGGGAAGAAUAAAUGACGGUACCCUGGGAGGAAGCCCCGGCUAACUACGUGCCAGCAGCCGCGGUAAUACGUAGGGGGCAAGCGUUAUCCGGAAUCACUGGGCGUAAAGGGUGCGUAGGUGGUUUUGCAAGUCAGAAGUGAAAGGCUGCGGCUUAACCGUGGUAAGCUUUUGAAACUGCGAGACUUGAGUGCAGGAGAGGUAAGUGGAAUUCCUAGUGUAGCGGUGAAAUGCGUAGAUAUUAGGAGGAACACCAGUGGCGAGGGCGACUUACUGGACUGUAACUGACACUGAGGCACGAAAGCGUGGGGAGCAAACAGGAUUAGAUACCCUGGUAGUCC
rnacentral:rRNA from 1 species